rnacentral:rRNA from 1 species
UGGGGAAUUUUGGACAAUGGGCGAAAGCCUGAUCCAGCAAUGCCGCGUGCAGGAAGAAGGCCUUCGGGUUGUAAACUGCUUUUGUACGGAACGAAACGGUCCUUUCUAAUAAAGAGGGCUAAUGACGGUACCGUAAGAAUAAGCACCGGCUAACUACGUGCCAGCAGCCGCGGUAAUACGUAGGGUGCGAGCGUUAAUCGGAAUUACUGGGCGUAAAGCGUGCGCAGGCGGUUCUAUAAGACAGAUGUGAAAUCCCCGGGCUCAACCUGGGAAUGGCAUUUGUGACUGUAGGGCUAGAGUACGGUAGAGGGGGAUGGAAUUCCGCGUGUAGCAGUGAAAUGCGUAGAUAUGCGGAGGAACACCGAUGGCGAAGGCAAUCCCCUGGACCUGUACUGACGCUCAUGCACGAAAGCGUGGGGAGCAAACAGGAUUAGAUACCCCGGUAGUCC